GAGACCCCGACUCUACCACGCGAGAGAUGGAGGAAAAAAAACACUGACGCUCCGAGCUGCUCGGUAAUUAAAACAAAGACAAAAAAAUACUGAGGUGAAACUCACCACAAUCAAAUCGGUGACCAGUGCUGGGCGUCCCGAGAAGGUAAAUUCAUUCACUGCACGGCAGAUAAGAGUCAAUUUAAACCCAUGAAUAGGGAUCUGAGUGAGCUGACCUAGCACGUCCUCCAGUGCAGGGACUCAGCCCUCACUCCGAGCGCCGGCACCAACCGCCGCUCACGUGGAGCAGCACCGCCGUCUCUCAUUGGUCCGUACUGCCCCUCUCCUUGGAGACCGGGCCUUCACGAGUUCGGAGUGGGGUGCAGCCUUACUCGAGGUGGUUUGGAGAAACUACCAACCGGGAGAGCUUCCGUUAUUCGCUGAGAGCUGGGAAACUUGGCUGCCCACAAUGAAACCUACAAAGUACUUUGUGUCAGAGGCUUCUAGCCUCAUUAAAAUAUUUCAGUUGCCAACUCGCCUCCUGACAUUAAGUAAUCUGCUCACCCUUUGUUUCUCCCAAGCUAAACACAAAAGAAUUGAGAGAAAAACCCAAGCCACACUGAAGGUGAAUGAUGGGUCGAUGUUCCCUGAGGAAGUGUAGGAGGGAAAUUGGAGCUCUUGUUACAUAUUGCUGUUGAAUAUUUGUUAUGAAUCAUUCACCACAUAGCACUGGUGAGAUCAAUCACUCGUUGCACCGUGACCAUAUUAUGUAAUACCAUGAGAGAGAUUUUUAAUGUGAGAGAUUAAUGGACUUAGCUCUUGAAGCAAAGGGAUAUUGUUACUCCUAUUUGUAUUAUUAGUUAAUUUGAGUCAUUUUAUUUUGUUCACGCAACAGUUUCCACGAACAGGGGAAGUUAUGGAACUCCCCAUCAGCUUUGCAUGUGUAAAGGCAUAAAUUAAAUGCAGUUAAGAGGCUUUGAAGAUUUUGUUCUUAAUGUAGUCACCUAGCUAAAGCUAAUAAUCUAAUUUUAAUUUAGUUAAUGUAAUUAAACAACUAUAGAAGAUACCAAAUACAUGUAGAACAAUAGCCAGAAUGAUUCAACCAGGAAAUAAUAUAAUAGUAUUUUUUUCCCAUUGCUGUCUUUAAGUUUAUGAUGAAAUAAGCUUUAAGAAAAACUAUUCACUCCUAUGCCAUUAAUCAAUCACUCUGGUCACCUUAGUAGCUCAAGGUAUCUGAACUGUUGCCCUUUUUCUCCUCACAAAGCUAUCUUCACCCUUCCAGCACAAAGAAUAGUCUGUUUUAAAAGGAUGGUUCUUUUAGGCUAGGACAGAAAGUGAUAUCAACUUGGCUCAAGUUUUCAAAAAGGAUGUGGCAUCAUAGACAUUGAACCAGCUGGUACAUUAAUGCUGCCGUUAUGUUGCUGAGUUAGUAAACUAGAAUCCAUGACUAAAAGAUUGGAGAAUGUGGGCCAAAUUUCAGUCCUGUGGGCAAGUAGGUCAAGUUAGGAAAGCUUGCCCAGAGUUUUGGGGGUGGAAUGCAGUUCGUCUUACCAUUUGAACACAUGAAAAGGCAUGAAAAAUAAUGUGCAGAGAAAUAGCAGUAAUUAAUGAUGCUCAUUUAGAGCGAUAUUGCAGGAAUGAUGGGCCAAAUGACCUUCUCCUCCAGCAUAAUAAUUGUGAGUUCGUGCAAAAGCAACUGGAUGGUGCAAAACCCAAGCUGUGAGGAAAAUUAAGCUGGGACCCCCCUUACCAGUUUAAAAAAAAGUAUUGCUGGCAUUGUGAACAGAGCCAUUACUACAGCUGCAGGAUUGAAUUAUCUUCCGAGAAGCAAUGAUUUUGGUUUGAUUUAGUAAGUGAGGAUUAUAAAUUAUACUCUGCUUGAAUUUAGUUAGUCUCUAAAUAUUUUGAAUGGGAAGAAAAGUAAGAUGGUUUGGUAAUAAGUAAGGCGUAUGGUUUUAUUUCUGUUUUCUGGCUAAGGCUUAGGUUAACAAAGAUGAGAAUGCUUUGAGCUAAAACUGCUUUUACUCAUAGAUGCAAGUAUGUUUCAAAAUAAGUAAGUUUUGCAACAAAGUAUAGAACUGGCCUUUGGGUAUAAUCACCUGUGCAUUUGUGUUUUAUAUUUUUAUGUCUUAUACUUGUUGUUUUGAAGUAUGUUUUGUAGUCUUGUAGCUGUUUUUAUUUUUGCUGAUGUAUUAUUUGGGAUAUUGGAUGAUAGUUAAUUACAAGGAGGUGACAAUACUUGUCUGAUGUAAGAUGUGUGACUUAUAUUCAUUUUAAUUUACUUUAUAGUUUGGAUUUUGAACUAGUGGCAAGUGGGCUUUGAUCUGUCUAUCUCUCAGCGGGGGAUUAAUUAUUAACUUGUCACUAUCUCUGGAGCCAGUUUUUGUUAAAAAGACCAGUCAAUGAGAGAGAAUCUCUGGAAUGAUAUUGGGGAUUUUUUUAUAUCAGCAAUUUUACAUGUGGACAAAGUAAGCAAUGAGGAACAUUAUCUUGCUUUUAGUUAAGAAGAAUGAGUUUUUUUUUACUUAGGGGAAAAAUUUCCAUGGCUUGAAAAGCAUAUGCUUCAGUUUGCAGAUGUCCUGUUUAAAAUUCGAUGAAUGAAAUCAUUUCUCCUGGAGAAAGAUAUGAGAACAGAAAAGUUAGGAAAUAGAUUGUCUCAUUGUUAGAAAUUUAAUUAAAAGCUCCAGACCAGAAGUGUUUUGGUAAUUGAAAGUUGAGAAAAUCUAAGCUUAGUUGGAAGAAGACCCAAGAAAGGGGUUAUCAAAUUCUCAAGACUGGGAAUUGAAAGAAGCAGUUAAAUUAACAUAUAGAUGUGAUAGAGAAACAAAUUCGGGUGUGCUAUAAAGUGAUAGUGUUCGGAUA